rnacentral:tRNA from 1 species
GACUAUGUGGCAUAGUGGUUUGAGUGUUGUACUACAACUCUGGAGACCAGGGUUCAAUUCACAGCUCAGCCA